GCGUUUAUAGCUCAAUUGGAUAGAGCGUCAGGUUUCGGUUCUGACGGUUGCAGGUUCGAGUCCUGCUAAACGUA
rnacentral:tRNA from 1 species